rnacentral:rRNA from 1 species
UCAUUAGAUACCCCGGUAGUCCACACCGUAAACGAUGGAUACUAGGGAGGGAGCAGUCGAAGGAGAAGCCAGCGACUGGGGUGAAGUCGUAACAAGGUAAC